AUUGAACGCUAGCGGGAUGCUUUACACAUGCAAGUCGAACGGAGUGGCGGACGGGUGAGUAAUAGAUGGGAACGUGCCCAGUAGCGGGGGAGAACUACUCGAAAGAUUGGCUAAUAACGCCUGCGAUUGGAGCGGUCGAUAUCGGAUUAGCUAGUUGGUGGGGUAAAGGCUCACCAAGUCAACGAUCCGUAGCUGGUUUGAGAGGCCGCCCAGCCACCCUAGGACUGAGCUGCGGCCCGGACCCCUACGGGAGGCAACAGUGGGGAAGUGUGGACAAUGGGGGAAGCCCUGGUCCAGCCAGCCCGCGUGUAGGAUGAAGACCUUGGGGUUGAAGAGGACUUUUGGCAGAGAAGCGGUAUUUGCAGAAUAAGCAACGGCUAACUACGUGCCAGCAGCCGCGGUAAUAC
rnacentral:rRNA from 1 species